GGUGGCUCAGUGGUAGAGCACUUGCCUUGCAGGCAUGAGGCUCUGGGUUCGAUUCCACAGCACCA
rnacentral:tRNA from 1 species